ensembl:lncRNA
GACUGAAGUGCAGCGAAGCCGCGGUGGUUCCGUCCGCUUUCCGUGUUCCCGGGGCCGAGGCGGCCCCGCACACGGUCCACAGACCCCCGGGACUUGGCCGGUCGCCUCCUAAGGCGGCCGGCCGCCCCCAGGGUCUACCCAUUGGAGCAGGCGGUUCUGUGCUGCCAGUGUUUAACUACCCUCGAAGAUCUACUGCGAGGUAGCUUUAUGUAGCAAAGCCAACACGUGAGUGCUUGAUGGGUGCCAGGCUCCGGUACGUGGGCCUUCUCAAUUCAUCUCUCCAACAACCCAGAGAGGUAGGAGAUGAUUUUUUCCCCAAAGUUGGGCUGGAGAAAGAAAAACAAAAGCAGAAAAGGAGAUGCGAUUGAGGAAAGGCCAGACACAGCCAGACACAGAGGCUGAAGCAGUAUCAGUUGGACCUUGCUUCUCUCCCUUCUUCUCUGGUUCUUGUUCCUUUCUGGGGACCCACAGGGGAAGCCCCACAUGGAUUGUCUCCAGAUGGAGAAAAAGCUGAAGCCUCUGGUUCAUCCUGGAUGGCUCUGCGGAGUCUUGUGUGUGAUGAGGGAAUGGCAUGUGUGGACUGACUGAGCCUGGAGAAGUGGGUUGUUUUGGAUGGUAUGUUUGUGUCCUCCCAGGAUUCAUCAUUCGGAGAAGGCAAUGGCACCUCACACCAGUACUCUUGCCUGGAAAAUCCCAUGGAUGGAGGAGCCUGGUGGGCCGCAGUCCAUGGGGUCACGAAGAGUCAGACACGACUGAGUGACUUCGCUUUCACAUUUCACUUCCAUGCCUUGGAGAAGGAAAUGGCAACCCACUUCAGUGUUCUUGCCUGGAGAAUCCCAGGGAUGGGGGAGCCUGGUGGGCUGCUGUCUAUGGGGUCGCACAGAGUCGGAUACAACUGAAGUGACUUAGCAGCAGCAGGAUUCAUAAUUGAAACUUGGAUCCCUGAAGGGACAUUUAGAGACAGGACCUUUGAGAGGAUUAAAUCAUGAAGGUGGAACCCUUCUAAACAGACUAGAAGACCUCACAGCCCUGCCUCUUGUAAUGCUAUAGCAAAGAGGGUGGCUGUCCUCAAGCCAGGGAGCAGGCUGUCCCCUGACGCCAUAUCUACUAGUGCCUUGAUUCUGGACCCUCAGCUUCCAGAAUUGUGAGAAAUAUUUGUUGUUUAACUCCCUAGUCUGUGGUAUUUUUGCUGUAGCAGCUUGAGCUAAGACCCAUAGCAUAAGGGCCCAGCCAGAGAGAGGGGGUGGUUCCUCAAAGGAGAAUUGGAGUACUGUUAGCAGGAGCGUGAAUGGCCACUGGUCUGCAGAAACAUUAGUCUUAAAGUAGAAAGAACUAGAUCCUGUUCUGCGUGUGACGCUUUGUAGCUGCUUCCUCUCUGGCCUUGGGCUCUGCUUCAGGACAGGCUGUGGAUUCAGGAGCUCUCCAAGGUCCUUGCAGUGCUGUGUGCUGUGAGAGUUCCAUGUCAUUUUUCC